rnacentral:rRNA from 1 species
UCCUACGGGAGGCAGCAGUGAGGAAUAUUGGGCAAUGGACGAAAGUCUGACCCAGCCAUGCCGCGUGCAGGAUGACGGCCCUAUGGGUUGUAAACUGCUUUUAUAUGGGAAGAAACCCGGAGACGCGUCUCCGGCUGACGGUACCAUACGAAUAAGGAUCGGCUAACUCCGUGCCAGCAGCCGCGGUAAUACGGAGGAUCCAAGCGUUAUCCGGAUUUACUGGGUUUAAAGGGUGCGCAGGCGGAUGUGUAAGUCAGUGGUGAAAUCCCUCGGCUCAACCGAGAAACUGCCAUUGGUACUGCAUGUCUAGAAUACAGACGAGGUAGGCGGAAUGUAGCAUGUAGCGGUGAAAUGCUUAGAUAUGCUACAGAACACCGAUCGCGAAGGCAGCUUACUAGACUGGUAUUGACGCUAAGGCACGAAAGCGUGGGGAGCGAACAGGAUUAGAUACCCUGGUAGUCCACGCCGUAAACGAUGAUCACUCGAUGUUGGCGAUACACUGUCAGCGUCCAAGCGAAAGCAUUAAGUGAUCCACC